rnacentral:tRNA from 1 species
GUCCUUGUCGAUUAGUGGUUAGAUCAUCACGUUGUGGUCGCACAAAACCGUGAAGACGGAGGCUCGAAUCCUCCCUGGGACA